rnacentral:rRNA from 1 species
GGGUUGUGAGGUUAAGCGACUAAGCGUACACGGUGGAUGCCCUGGCAGUCAGAGGCGAUGAAGGACGUGCUAAUCUGCGAAAAGCGCCGGCGAGGUGAUAUGAACCUUUGACCCGGCGAUGUCCGAAUGGGGAAACCCAGUGUGUUCCGACACACUAUCGUUAACUGAAUACAUAGGUUAACGAGGCGAACCGGGGGAACUGAAACAUCUAAGUACCCCGAGGAAAAGAAAUCAACCGAGAUUCCCCCAGUAGCGGCGAGCGAACGGGGAGCAGCCCAGAGUCUGAAUCAGCUUGUGUGUUAGUGGAAGCGUCUGGAAAGUCGCACGGUACAGGGUGACAGUCCCGUACACGAAAGCACACAGGUUGUGAACUCGAAGAGUAGGGCGGGACACGUGGUAUCCUGUCUGAAUAUGGGGGGACCAUCCUCCAAGGCUAAAUACUCCUGACUGACCGAUAGUGAACCAGUACCGUGA